GUUAUUUCUUUUAUAUAUUGCCUUUUCUGUCAUUUUCUGAGAACCUUGAACAAGGUUCAAUUAUUAUUUAUGUUAAUAAGUUCAUGCAUAUCCCUACAUUCUGGGGCCGUCCCUUGACAAGCACAUGUACCUGAUUGAUUUGGCUGCUAUUUCCGCAAGUCUUGUCCUAAUGUAAAAUGCAUAGAAAAGCUUAGAUGUGUUUAUAAACUUAAAUGGCAAUAUUGUUUCUGACACAGCUAGACUGCUAUUAGUGACAGGUGACAUAUCUUAAAUUUCCAAAUGGACUUGUCUAAGUUCUUAUAGUAGAAUGGACACUAAAUGAUACAUUCUAGUUAGGAUGGGCAAUUCCAUGUUAUAACUUCGUUAUCUUAUCACGCAUUGUUGUGUAUGUAUUUGUUACAAAUGCUGAAUGAGGUUUUCUUUCAACCUUUCUACUAAGAUGCUUUCUUUUCUUCCGCAUCCCACCACCCCCCGAUUAAUGGAAGCUGUUCUUGAGGAGAUGUCAGAACUUUCUUGCUGCUAAUUGGUCCUGUUAUGCUAAUCUGUUUCUGGGAUUUACUUCCACAUUCUUUUUUGUUGGUUUCUGAUAGCUUAAUUACAUAUCUCAGUACUAAUUGUUAUAUUUAUUUGACAUUUCAACUUAAUGUCAAUGUUGACCAGCAAAACAAGUAAAAACUUGAUGUAUAUAAGGAGGAUCUUACUUUCCUUUUAUGUUGAAUUUGUAGGAGAAGUUAAGGAUUGCAGUU
rnacentral:misc_RNA from 1 species